CAAGUCGAACGAACUCUGGUAUUGAUUGGUGCUUGCAUCAUGAUUUACAUUUGAGUGAGUGGCGAACUGGUGAGUAACACGUGGGAAACCUGCCCAGAAGCGGGGGAUAACACCUGGAAACAGAUGCUAAUACCGCAUAACAACUUGGACCGCAUGGUCCGAGUUUGAAAGAUGGCUUCGGCUAUCACUUUUGGAUGGUCCCGCGGCGUAUUAGCUAGAUGGUGRGGUAACGGCUCACCAUGGCAAUGAUACGUAGCCGACCUGAGAGGGUAAUCGGCCACAUUGGGACUGAGACACGGCCCAAACUCCUACGGGAGGCAGCAGUAGGGAAUCUUCCACAAUGGACGAAAGUCUGAUGGAGCAACGCCGCGUGAGUGAAGAAGGGUUUCGGCUCGUAAAACUCUGUUGUUAAAGAAGAACAUAUCUGAGAGUAACUGUUCAGGUAUUGACGGUAUUUAACCAGAAAGCCACGGCUAACUACGUGCCAGCAGCCGCGGUAAUACGUAGGUGGCAAGCGUUGUCCGGAUUUAUUGGGCGUAAAGCGAGCGCAGGCGGUUUUUUAAGUCUGAUGUGAAAGCCUUCGGCUCAACCGAAGAAGUGCAUCGGAAACUGGGAAACUUGAGUGCAGAAGAGGACAGUGGAACUCCAUGUGUAGCGGUGAAAUGCGUAGAUAUAUGGAAGAACACCAGUGGCGAAGGCGGCUGUCUGGUCUGUAACUGACGCUGAGGCUCGAAAGUAUGGGUAGCAAACAGGAUUAGAUACCCUGGUAGUCCAUACCGUAAACGAUGAAUGCUAAGUGUUGGAGGGUUUCCGCCCUUCAGUGCUGCAGCUAACGCAUUAAGCAUUCCGCCUGGGGAGUACGGCCGCAAGGCUGAAACUCAAAGGAAUUGACGGGGGCCCGCACAAGCGGUGGAGCAUGUGGUUUAAUUCGAAGCUACGCGAAGAACCUUACCAGGUCUUGACAUACUAUGCAAAUCUAAGAGAUUAGACGUUCCCUUCGGGGACAUGGAUACAGGUGGUGCAUGGUUGUCGUCAGCUCGUGUCGUGAGAUGUUGGGUUAAGUCCCGCAACGAGCGCAACCCUUAUUAUCAGUUGCCAGCAUUAAGUUGGGCACUCUGGUGAGACUGCCGGUGACAAACCGGAGGAAGGUGGGGAUGACGUCAAAUCAUCAUGCCCCUUAUGACCUGGGCUACACACGUGCUACAAUGGAUGGUACAACGAGUUGCGAACUCGCGAGAGUAAGCUAAUCUCUUAAAGCCAUUCUCAGUUCGGAUUGUAGGCUGCAACUCGCCUACAUGAAGUCGGAAUCGCUAGUAAUCGCGGAUCAGCAUGCCGCGGUGAAUACGUUCCCGGGCCUUGUACACACCGCCCGUCACACCAUGAGAGUUUGUAACACCCAAAGUCGGUGGGGUAACCUUUUAGGAACCAGCCGCCUAA
rnacentral:rRNA from 1 species